rnacentral:tRNA from 1 species
CGGGUAGUAGCGCAGCUGGUAGCGCACUAGGUUCGGGACUUAGAUGUCGCGGGUUCAAAUCCCGCCUACCCGA